GCUGGGCAUGGUGGCGCAUGCCUGUAAUCCCAGCUACUCAGGAGGCUGAGGCGGGAGAAUUGCUUGAACCCAGGAGGCAGAGGUUGCAGUGAGCUGAGAUCGCACCACUACACUCCAGCCUGGGUAAAAAGAGCGAAACUCCGUCUCAA
rnacentral:SRP_RNA from 1 species